rnacentral:rRNA from 1 species
GACGUAGGGCGCGAGCGUUGUCCGGAUUUAUUGGGCGUAAAGAGCUCGUAGGCGGUCUGUCGCGUCAACUGUGAAAACCCGUGGCUCAACCAUGUGGUCUGCAGUCGAUACGGGCAGGCUAAAGAUUCGGUAGGGGAGACUGGAAUUCCUGGUGUAGCGGUGAAAUGCGCAGAUAUCAGGAGGAACACCGGUGGCGAAGGCGGGACUCUGGGCCGAUACUGACGCUGAGGAGCGAAAGCGUGGGGAGCAAACAGG